rnacentral:rRNA from 1 species
AGCGAAUGUUUGCGGCGGGCUUAACACAUGCAAGUCGAACGGGCUGUUCCUUCGGGGGCAGUCAGUGGCGCACGGGUGCGUAACACGUAGGUAAUCAACCCUCUGGUUGGGGAUAACACUUCGAAAGGAGUGCUAAUACCCGGUAUGGCGCAGCGGUCUUCGGAUCGCGGCGAGAAAGACCCGCAAGGGUUGCCAGAGGACGAGCCUGCGGCCCAUCAGCUAGUUGGCGAGGUAACGGCUCACCAAGGCGAAGACGGGUAGCUGGUCUGAGAGGAUGAUCAGCCACACUGGAACUGAGACACGGUCCAGACUCCUACGGGAGGCAGCAGUGGGGAAUAUUGCGCAAUGGGCGAAAGCCUGACGCAGCCACGCCGCGUGAGCGAUGAAGGCC